GAUGAACGCUAGCGGCAGGCCUAAUACAUGCAAGUCGAACGGUAAGUAGUGUAGCAAUACAUUGCCUAGAGUGACGUACGGGUGCGUAACACGUAUGCAACCUACCUUGUACAGGAGUAUAGCUCGGGGAAACUCGAAUUAAUCCUUCAUAGUAUAUCUGGAUGGCAUCAUUUGGAUAUUAAAACUUUGGUGGUACAAGAUGGGCAUGCGUCUGAUUAGUUAGUUGGCGGGGUAACGGCCCACCAAGACGAUGAUCAGUAGGGGAACUGAGAGGUUGAUCCCCCACACUGGCACUGAGAUACGGGCCAGACUCCUACGGGAGGCAGCAGUAGGGAAUAUUGGUCAAUGGAUGGAAGUCUGAACCAGCCAUGCCGCGUGCAGGAAGAAGGCCUUCUGGGUUGUAAACUGCUUUUGCCAGGGGAUAAAAUACUUGUGCGCAAGUAAUUGAAGGUACCUGGUGAAUAAGCCACGGCUAACUACGUGCCAGCAGCCGCGGUAAUACGUAGGUGGCAAGCGUUGUCCGGAUUUAUUGGGUUUAAAGGGUGCGUAGGCGGUCUAUUAAGUCAGUGGUGAAAUACUCUAGCUCAACUAGAGGGGUGCCAUUGAUACUGAUGGACUUGAGUCAAGUCGAGGUAGGCGGAAUUGACGGUGUAGCGGUGAAAUGCUUAGAUAUCGUCAAGAACACCAAUAGUGAAGACAGCUUACUAGGCUUAAACUGACGCUGAGGCACGAAAGUGUGGGGGAUCAAACAGGAUUAGAUACCCUGGUAGUCCACACUGUAAACGUUGAUUACUCGCUGUUGGCGAUACACAGCCAGCGGCCAAGCGCAAGCGAUAAGUAAUCCACCUGGGGAGUACGCCGGCAACGGUGAAACUCAAAGGAAUUGACGGGGGUCCGCACAAGCGGUGGAGCAUGCGGUUUAAUUCGAUGAUACGCGAGGAACCUUACCUGGACUAGAAUGCCCUUGACUGUUCCAGAGAUGGAAAGUUCCGCAAGGACAAGGAGCAAGGUGCUGCAUGGCCGUCGUCAGCUCGUGCCGUGAGGUGUUGGGUUAAGUCCCGCAACGAGCGCAACCCUUAUUUCUAGUUGCCAACAUGUCAUGGUGGGGACUCUAGAAAGACUGCCCGCGCAAGCGGAGAGGAAGGAGGGGAUGACGUCAGGUCAUCAUGGCCCUUACGUCCAGGGCUACACACGUGCUACAAUGGCGUAUACAAAGUGUUGCAAGCCAGCGAUGGUGAGCCAAUCACAAAAAGUACGUCUCAGUUCGGAUUGCAGGCUGCAACUCGCCUGCAUGAAGUUGGAAUCGCUAGUAAUCGCGCAUCAGCAAUGGCGCGGUGAAUACGUUCCCGGACCUUGUACACACCGCCCGUCAAGCGAUGGAAGUUGGGAGGACCUGAUGACAGUUGCUGUAAGGCGCUGUUUAGGGUUAAACCGAUGACUGGCGCUAAGU
rnacentral:rRNA from 1 species